CUGGGUCAUUGCGGUAGCCCCUCACACCCCCCUGAACAAUGCUGGGUAGACACCCAAUAGAGUUAUCAAAUGGAUAAAUAAAUGCAAUUGCAGAGAGGAGGCGGCCACUUUUGGCGGCCUCCAUGCGUGGUGCCAGGGCCAUGUGCGAGGCCAUUGACGAGUGUUAGCUCACUGGAUUUCCAUACUGACCUCGGGAGGUGGAGACUCACAAAUCCAUUUUACAAAUAAGGAAUCUAAGGCUCAAAAAAUCCCAAGGAGACCACACAGCUCGCGACGGGUUGAGCCAGUUUUGACGCCAAGUUUGCCUGCAGCCCGAGCCCAAGUGCCACCCCUGCUCCAUGCCACUUGCUGGCACAGCUCUGAUGACUGUCUCCUGCCUGGCUCUGACGGGUCUCUGCCCAAGUGUUCUGGCCGCAGGCCUCCGCGGAGCUGGCAGCCAGGAACCUCCAGAGGCUCCCAACCUAGCCCGUCCUGCAAGAUGAAGCUGCUUCUUGG
rnacentral:lncRNA from 1 species